ACAAAUCAUUCGCUCGACAGAGACGAGCGGAUCGGUUCGGUCGCCGCGCGAGAGAGAAGAGGGUCCGUCGCCGAGGAACGCCUCGCCUGGGUGCACGGUGGUGGCAGGCCUCGAGCAGUCGAGCGGGCCGAGCGGCCAUGCGGCUCUUCCCCGCGAUCUCUGCCGCGGCGACGACCAAGACCCCCGCAAGGCCCGCGUCCUCGGCCGCGGCGGCGGCGACGGCCAAGACCCCGGCCAGCUUAACAAACAACCACAUUGGCUGGCACGUGAGAGCAAGGCAAGCAAGUAAAAGGUGUUUUGCAUGUCUGUGAAACAAGCAAGAAGAAGCAAAGUUUGUAACCAUACAGCCAGAUCGACCCAGGAGACAGAGACAAGACAGAUGAGGGUCGAUCCAGCCGCCGCUGGCGACGAGGGGAUCGGUCGAUCCAGCCGACAUGGGCGAUUUGUCUGCCAGGGAGAAGGGAGAAGAGGCAAUCAUUCUUCAGUUUCUGUUCAGACAAUCAUAGCAGGUGAUGGGCCCGGUGAUGAUAGCGUUCUUCUGCAUGAACGUGAACCUGGUGUUUUUGAUGCGGAUGGUGAAACAGGCAACAGCCGCAUAACCAACAACACGAGCAAGUGAACCAGAGGAUCCUACUGGGGACGCUACAAGACCUACCAUCAUAUUACAAUCUUAGCUUCGUUGUCGUAGGGCCGGGUGAUGAUAGCAUUCUUCUGCAUGAACGUGAACCUGGUGUUCUUGACGCGGAUGGUGAAACAGGCAACAGCCGCAUAACCAACAACACGAGCAAGUGAACCAGAGGAUCCUAUUGGGGACGCUACAAGACCUACCAUCAUAUUACAAUCUUAGCUUCGUUGUCAUAGGUACUACGUGUUACAUAUGACUUCACAUAUCACCCACUCAAGCAAUGAUAAUAUGCGUUCCAAACAGAAUAUAUGUGAAUAACAUGAACAGUAGUAGAUAUGUGACUGUACUGUGUCCAAAGCACCGCCCAUUUUUCUUAACGAGUCCCUCACAAGCCUCCCUAGAUACUCUCUGUUCCUGUGGCUAUAUCGAUUUCUUACUACUACUCCCUCCGUUCCAUAAUGUAGUGCCUAUAGAUUAUUUUAAAAGUCAAACAUUACAAACUUUGACCAUAUUUAUAGAGAAAAAUGGGUACAUCUAGAAUGCCAAAUGCACAUCAUUGGAUAUAUCAUGAGUUAUAUUUUCAGAAUAUACAUGUUUGGUAUUGUAGAAAUAAAUAGUUUUUUCUAUACACUUAGUCAAAGUUGUAACUAGAAUUGCCUAAGCACAACUAUGUUUUAGUUAUAGUUUGUGCAUCUUGGCCAUGUUCUGAACUUUCUAGCGAUGUUAUACACCCUAGAUACCUAAUGUUAUAUACUUUGGACAGUACAAAACCCAUGCUUUUAUCUGUAGUUUGCAUACUUAAUAUCCAUUAUGUAGUUCUCACCAUAUCAGUAGUUGAAUCUUCAUUUUGUUUUCAUGUCAAAACUGCUUCGGUACUUCUUCACUUUGUACGCAAUGGGGAAAUGGUUUCUUCGUUCAUUUAUGAGAAAUGAUAAUUUAGAUUGUGGAAAUGUUUUCAGUAAUCCGAAACAGCCAUUUAAUGUCAUUCUUUGUAUUGUUUGUGCCAUUGGAGACUUGAAAAUAAAUGAAUAUAUUUGUCUUCUCCUUUCUUUCAAAAGUUUUAUGUUUUAGAAUAUGUGGUGAACGGAGGUUUGCAUUCAUGGAGUUAUCCGAUUUAUUGUAGAGUAGCCUUUAUAGACUGUUGUCAAUUUUUUGAAUGAUAAUGGCAUUUUCAAGCGUAGUCAGGUGCAUUACACAAGGAGCGCUUCAGCCUUACGGAUGCAGGACUAGAGAUGCUACUGUUUUUCUGCCAUAAUUAUGUCGUGCAAGUAAGAUGCACAUUUGUUUGUGCUUUUACUGGGAAAAAUAUACAUUCGGUGUCGCUGAUGUAUUGCAUAGUUCUAACUAUCUAUGGAGUGUUUUUGUCCCCUAUUUCUUUAUACCAAUAUCAAUUUUCAAUCCUUGUCAGAUAUAUUUAUAUGCAUCAAGUUUCAGUUAUUCUUGAUUAACUGCCGUCUUCUUUGUUGGCAAAAUUUCUUGCACUUUCACAACACAGGUAUAGCCAUGAUCUGUGGAGGAACCGUGGAACUAGGAUAAUCUUUUGACAUCAAACUAGCAUUCCUUGUUGGUCUACAUGGUUUACAUGAAGAGGAAGAAUGCCGACGACUGGAAUUCUGGGCCGGAAAAGGAGCAAAUAUUAGAGACCUAUUCUGCACAACUCCAAAAGUCC